GAUGAACGCUGGCGGCGUGCCUAACACAUGCAAGUCGAACGGAGAUGAAGAGAAGUUUUCGGACAGACCUUUAUCUUAGUGGCGGACGGGUGAGUAACGCGUGGAUAACCUGCCUCUUUCUGGGGGAUAGCAGUUGAAAACGACUGAUAAUACCGCAUAAGUUCCUUUAAGCGCAUGCUCAGAGGAAGAAAGAUUUAUCGGGAAGAGAUGGAUCCGCGUCUGAUUAGCCAGUUGGCGGGGUAACGGCCCACCAAAGCGACGAUCAGUAGCCGGCCUGAGAGGGUGAACGGCCACAUUGGGACUGAGACACGGCCCAAACUCC
rnacentral:rRNA from 1 species